ACUGCUCAGUAACACGUGGACAACCCGCCCUUAGGACGGGGAUAAACCCGGGAAACUGGGUAUAAUACCCGAUAGGUCUCGAUUGCUGGAAUGCAUCGAGAUUUAAAGCUCCGGCGCCUAAGGAUGGGUCUGCGGCCUAUCAGGUAGUAGUGGGUGUAGCGUACCUACUAGCCUACGACGGGUACGGGUUGUGAGAGCAAGAGCCCGGAGAUGGAUUCUGAGACACGAAUCCAGGCCCUACGGGGUGCAGCAGGCGCGAAAACUUUACAAUGCUGGCAACAGCGAUAAGGGAACCUCGAGUGCCAGGUUACAAAUCUGGCUGUCGAGAUGCCUAAAAAGCAUUUCAUAGCAAGGGCCGGGCAAGACCGGUGCCAGCCGCCGCGGUAACACCGGCGGCUCGAGUGGUAACCGUUAUUAUUGGGUCUAAAGGGUCUGUAGCCGGCCGGAUAAGUCUCUUGAGAAAUCUGGCAGCUUAACUGUCAGGCUUUCAGGAGAUACUGUCUGGCUCGAGGCCGGGAGAGGUGAGAGGUACUUCAGGGGUAGGGGUGAAAUCUUGUAAUCCUUGAAGGACCACCAGUGGCGAAGGCGUCUCACCAGAACGGACCUGACGGCAAGGGACGAAAGCUAGGGGCACGAACCGGAUUAGAUACCCGGGUAGUCCUAGCCGUAAACGAUACUCGCUAGGUGUCGGCCACGGUGCGACCGUUGUCGGUGCCGUAGGGAAGCCGUGAAGCGAGCCACCUGGGAAGUACGGCCGCAAGGCUGAAACUUAAAGGAAUUGGCGGGGGAGCACCACAACGGGUGGAGCUUGCGGUUUAAUUGGAUUCAACGCCGGAAAUCUUACCGGGACCGACAGCAAUAUGAAGGCCAGGCUGAAGACUUUGCCGGAUUAGCUGAGAGGUGGUGCAUGGCCGUCGUCAGUUCGUACUGUGAAGCAUCCUGUUAAGUCAGGCAACGAGCGAGACCCCUACC
rnacentral:rRNA from 1 species